rnacentral:rRNA from 1 species
UGCAAGUCGAACGGACUUAACCGAAAUAUUUAUAUUUUGGAGCGGUUAGUGGCGGACUGGUGAGUAACGCGUAAGCAAUCUGCCUAUUAGAGGGGAAUAACAGUGAGAAAUCACUGCUAAUACCGCAUAUGCCAUGAACAUCGCAUGAUGAAAAUGGGAAAGGAGUAAUCCGCUAAUAGAUGAGCUUGCGUCUGAUUAACUAGUUGGUGUGGUAAUGGCAUACCAAGGUAACGAUCAGUAGCCGGACUGAGAGGUUGAACGGCCACAUUGGGACUGAGAUACGGCCCAGACUCCUACGGGAGGCAGCAGUCGGGAAUAUUGCGCAAUGGAGGAAACUCUGACGCAGUGACGCCGCGUAUAGGAUGAAGGUUUUCGGAUUGUAAACUAUUGUCAUUAGGGAAGAUAAAAGACAGUACCUAAGGAGGAAGCUCCGGCUAACUACGUGCCAGCAGCCGCGGUAAUACGUAGGGAGCAAGCGUUAUCCGGAUUUAUUGGGUGUAAAGGGUGCGUAGACGGGAGAUUAAGUUAGUUGUGAAAGCCCUCGGCUUAACUGAGGAAUUGCAACUAAAACUGGUUUUCUUGAGUGCAGGAGAGGUAAGUGGAAUUCCUAGUGUAGCGGUGAAAUGCGUAGAUAUUAGGAGGAACACCAGUGGCGAAGGCGACUUACUGGACUGUAACUGACGUUGAGGCACGAAAGUGUGGG